rnacentral:rRNA from 1 species
AUGGAACAAGCUGGACUGUGCUUUCUCUGUUUUGCCUUCUUGCUCCUCCUUAGUUGUGGUGAAUCUUCGGAAGAGAAAGGUUAUGGUGCAAGUGCAUAUGCUAUGCACUGGGACCCUGAUCAUACAUAUUCUGAACAAAACGGUUUUGAUGUGAGUGCAUAUGCUGUGCACUGGGAUCCCGAUUAUCCACAUUCCGAACAAAACGGUUUUGGUGCGAGUGCAUAUGCUGUGCACUGGGACCCCGAUCAUCCACAUUCUGAACAAAACGGUUUUGGUGUGGGUGCAUAUGUUGUGCACUGGGACCCCGAUCAUCGACAUUCCGCUUCUGCUGUUCCUGAAGCAGUGGCAAAACAUCAUCAGAUAAAAGUUCAAACUGGCAUGUUGUUCCUGAAGAAGAAUCUGCAUGUUGGCACUGUACUUCCGGAAGGAACCAAGUUUGCCCGAGCCGGUGCACCAAAGCCUGUCGAUUUCAUCUCAACUCUGUUGGAGUCGAAGAACUUGCCAAGCAUUCUUGCGCGGUUCAAGAUACCUCACGGCUCGAUGAAGGCGAAGCAGGUAGCUGACACCCUUGAGUCAUGCGGCAAACUGGUUGAAAUGGAGGAGCCUCACAUGUGCUUCACAUCUCAUGAAGCAAUGACAAGGUUUUCCACCAAAGCAUUAGGACUGAGCGGCGCACGCUCAGCCAUUACAAGGAUUCAUGGGCAUGAGACCCCCAACUCCAUGUACACUAUUGCACAGAUCGCCCAACUGAGCAACAAUGUGGUGCCAUGCCACCCUAUGGAUUUUCCAUAUGAGGUUUUCUACUGCCAUCGGCCGAAAGAGGUGCAGGCUUUGAGGGUGCAACUCAAGGGCUUGAAAGAUGGAAUGCCGCGCGUGACGGCAACAGCCAUGUACCACAUGAACACAUCUGAUUGGGACGAGCAGUACUUUGAGCUUUUGGGCGGAGAGCGUGGCGAAAGCAUUUGCCACUACAUGCCAACAAACUACAUCAUGUUCUAUUAG